rnacentral:rRNA from 1 species
GACGAACGCUGGCGGCGCGCCUAACACAUGCAAGUCGAACGGAGUCAAGAGGAGCUUGCUUUUCUUGACUUAGUGGCGCACGGGUGAGUCACGCGUGAGUAACCUGCCCUGGAGUGGGGGACAACGGUUGGAAACGACUGCUAAUACCGCAUAAGCCCACGGAUCUGCAUGGAUCUGCGGGAAAAGGAUUUAUUCGCUCUAGGAUGGACUCGCGUCCAAUUAGCUAGUUGGUGAGGUAACGGCCCACCAAGGCGACGAUUGGUAGCCGGACUGAGAGGUUGAACGGCCACAUUGGGAAUGAGACACGGCCCAGACUCGUACGGGAGGCAGCAGUGGGGGAUAUUGCACAAUGGGGGAAACCCUGAUGCAGCGGCGCCGCGUAGAGGAAGAAGGUUUUCGGAUUGUAAACUCCUGUCGUUAGGGACGAUAAUGACGGUACCUAACAAGAAAGCACCAGCUAACUACGUG